rnacentral:rRNA from 1 species
UGGGGAAUAUUGCACAAUGGGCGCAAGCCUGAUGCAGCCAUGCCGCGUGUAUGAAGAAGGCCUUCGGGUUGUAAAGUACUUUCAGCGAGGAGAAAGGCGUUGUGGUUAAUAACCGCAGCGAUUGACGUUACUCGCAGAAGAAGCACCGGCUAACUCCGUGCCAGCAGCCGCGGUAAUACGGAGGGUGCAAGCGUUAAUCGGAAUUACUGGGCGUAAGGCGCACGCAGGCGGUCUGUCAAGUCGGAUGUGAAAUCCCCGGGCUCAACCUGGGAACUGCAUCCGAAACUGGCAGGCUAGAGUCUUGUAGAGGGGGGUAGAAUUCCAGGUGUAGCGGUGAAAUGCGUAGAGAUCUGGAGGAAUACCGGUGGCGAAGGCGGCCCCCUGGACAAAGACUGACGCUCAGGUGCGAAAGCGUGGGGAGCAAACA